UGGUCAUAUACCAAGGCUUUCAGGAUCCUGUGUUCCUGAUUUGCUGUGGACUUGACCAGAAAUCAAAAAACCACCCCAGUGGGCCUCUGCAGCGUCGUCUGUAGAGGCUUCACUGGGGACAUGA
rnacentral:snoRNA from 1 species